GUACCAUUUUUGCAAAUAAAAUCUCUUCUUAUCUGCUUAAUAUCUGAUACGAUCCCCAUGUGGGAUCCUCGAUAUUAAACUGAUUUUUGCAACAUGGCGAAGUGCUAGGAGCUUGCUCCACCUUUGCCGCAGAUCGGCGCGGUAUUGCAGUUAGAAAAAAUACGUUGUUGUUGUUGUUUAAAAUUC